rnacentral:rRNA from 1 species
AUGAACGCUGGCGGCGCGCCUAACACAUGCAAGUCGAACGGCACCUGCCCUCGGGCAGAAGCGAGUGGCGAACGGCUGAGUAACACGUGGAGAACCUGCCCCCUCCCCCGGGAUAGCCGCCCGAAAGGACGGGUAAUACCGGAUACCCCGGGGUGCCGCAUGGCACCCCGGCUAAAGCCCCGACGGGAGGGGAUGGCUCCGCGGCCCAUCAGGUAGACGGCGGGGUGACGGCCCACCGUGCCGACAACGGGUAGCCGGGUUGAGAGACCGACCGGCCAGAUUGGGACUGAGACACGGCCCAGACUCCUACGGGAGGCAGCAGUGGGGAAUCUUGCGCAAUGGGGGGAACCCUGACGCAGCGACGCCGCGUGCGGGACGGAGGCCUUCGGGUCGUAAACCGCUUUCAGCAGGGAAGAGUCAAGACUGUACCUGCAGAAGAAGCCCCGGCUAACUACGUGCCAGCAGCCGCGGUAAUACGUAGGGGGCGAGCGUUAUCCGGAUUCAUUGGGCGUAAAGCGCGCGUAGGCGGCCCGGCAGGCCGGGGGUCGAAGCGGGGGGCUCAACCCCCCGAAGCCCCCGGAACCUCCGCGGCUUGGGUCCGGUAGGGGAGGGUGGAACACCCGGUGUAGCGGUGGAAUGCGCAGAUAUCGGGUGGAACACCGGUGGCGAAGGCGGCCCUCUGGGCCGAGACCGACGCUGAGGCGCGAAAGCUGGGGGAGCGAACAGGAUUAGAUACCCUGGUAGUCCCAGCCGUAAACGAUGGACGCUAGGUGUGGGGGGACGAUCCCCCCGUGCCGCAGCCAACGCAUUAAGCGUCCCGCCUGGGGAGUACGGCCGCAAGGCUAAAACUCAAAGGAAUUGACGGGGGCCCGCACAAGCAGUGGAGUAUGUGGUUUAAUUCGAAGCAACGCGAAGAACCUUACCUGGUCUUGACAUCCCGAUGCAUAACGGGUAAUGCCGUUAGUACUUCGGUACAUUGGAGACAGGUGGUGCAUGGUUGUCGUCAGCUCGUGUCGUGAGAUGUUGGGUUAAGUCCCGCAACGAGCGCAACCCCUGUUUCUAGUUGCCAGCACGUCAAGGUGGGAACUCUAGAAAGACUGCCGUAGAUAAUACGGAGGAAGGUGGGGAUGACGUCAAAUCAUCAUGCCCUUUAUGUCCUGGGCUACACACGUACUACAAUGGCGUUAAACAAAGAGAAGCAAGACCGCGAGGUGGAGCAAAACUCAGAAACAACGUCCCAGUUCGGACUGCAGGCUGCAACUCGCCUGCACGAAGUCGGAAUUGCUAGUAAUCGUGGAUCAGCAUGCCACGGUGAAUACGUUCCCGGGCCUUGUACACACCGCCCGUCACACCAUGAGAGCCGGGGGGACCCGAAGUCGGUAGUCUAACCGCAAGGAGGACGCCGCCGAAGGUAAAACUGGUGAUUGGGGUG